GACGAACGCUGGCGGCGUGCUUAACACAUGCAAGUCGAACGGAAAUUCCCUGCUUUUGUGGGGUGCUCGAGUGGCGAACGGGUGAGUAACACGUGAGUAACCUGCCCUUCACUUUGGGAUAACUUCAUGAAACUGGGGCUAAUACCGGAUAGGAGCUCCUGCUGCAUGGUGGGGGUUGGAAAGUUUCGGCGGUUGGGGAUGGACUCGCGGCUUAUCAGCUUGUUGGUGGGGUAGUGGCUUACCAAGGCUUUGACGGGUAGCCGGGCUGAGAGGGUGACCGGCCACAUUGGGACUGAGAUACGACCCAGACUACUACGGGAGGCAGCAGUGGGGAAUAUUGCACAAUGGGCGGAAGCCUGAUGCAGCAACGCCGCGUGCGGGAUGACGGCCUUCGGGUUGUAAACCGCUUUCGCCUGUGACGAAGCGUGAGUGACGGUAAUGGGUAAAGAAGCACCGGCUAACUACGUG
rnacentral:rRNA from 1 species